AAGGCCGAGAACUGAUGACGAGUGUUCUUUUAGAACACGAAGUGGUUGAUGCCAUGCUUCCAGGAAAAGCCUCUAAGCUUCAGGUAACUAGAAAUCGUACCCCAAACCGACACAGGUGGUCAGGUAGAGAAUACCAAGGCGCUUGAGAGAACUCGGGUGAAGGAACUAGGCAAAAUGGCACCGUAACUUCGGGAGAAGGUGCGCCGGCUAGGGUGAAGGACUUGCUCCGUAAGCUCUGGCUGGUCGAAGAUACCAGGCCGCUGCAACUGUUUAUUAAAAACAUAGCACUCUGCAAACACGAAAGUGGACGUAUAGGGUGUGACGCCUGCCCGGUGCCGGAAGGUUAAUUGAUGGGGUUAGCUUCGGCGAAGCUCUUGAUCGAAGCCCCGGUAAACGGCGGCCGUAACUAUAACGGUCCUAAGGUAGCGAAAUUCCUUGUCGGGUAAGUUCCGACCUGCACGAAUGGCGUAAUGAUGGCGGCGCUGUCUCCACCCGAGACUCAGUGAAAUUGAAAUCGCUGUGAAGAUGCAGUGUAUCCGCGGCUAGACGGAAAGACCCCGUGAACCUUUACUAUAGCUUUGCACUGGACUUUGAAUUUGCUUGUGUAGGAUAGGUGGGAGGCUGUGAAGCGUGGACGCCAGUUCGCGUGGAGCCAACCUUGAAAUACCACCCUGGCAACUUUGAGGUUCUAACUCUGGUCCGUUAUCCGGAUCGAGGACAGUGUAUGGUGGGUAGUUUGACUGGGGCGGUCUCCUCCUAAAGAGUAACGGAGGAGUACGAAGGUGCGCUCAGCACGGUCGGAAAUCGUGCGUAGAGUAUAAAGGCAAAAGCGCGCUUGACUGCGAGACCAACACGUCGAGCAGGUACGAAAGUAGGUCUUAGUGAUCCGGUGGUUCUGUAUGGAAGGGCCAUCGCUCAACGGAUAAAAGGUACUCCGGGGAUAACAGGCUGAUACCGCCCAAGAGUUCAUAUCGACGGCGGUGUUUGGCACCUCGAUGUCGGCUCAUCACAUCCUGGGGCUGAAGCCGGUCCCAAGGGUAUGGCUGUUCGCCAUUUAAAGUGGUACGCGAGCUGGGUUUAGAACGUCGUGAGACAGUUCGGUCCCUAUCUGCCGUGGACGUUUGAGAUUUGAGAGGGGCUGCUCCUAGUACGAGAGGACCGGAGUGGACGAACCUCUGGUGUUCCGGUUGUCACGCCAGUGGCAUUGCCGGGUAGCUACGUUCGGAAAAGAUAACCGCUGAAAGCAUCUAAGCGGGAAACUUGCCUCAAGAUGAGAUCUCACCGGGGACUUGAUCCCCCUGAAGGGCCGUCGAAGACUACGACGUUGAUAGGCUGGGUGUGUAAGCGUUGUGAGGCGUUGAGCUAACCAGUACUAAUUGCCCGUGUGGCUUGACCAU
rnacentral:ncRNA from 3 species